rnacentral:rRNA from 1 species
CAACUUUCAGCAACGGAUCUCUUGGCUCUCGCAUCGAUGAAGAACGCAGCGAAAUGCGAUAAGUAAUGUGAAUUGCAGAAUUCAGUGAAUCAUCGAAUCUUUGAACGCACCUUGCGCCCUUUGGCUAUUCCGAAGGGCAUGCCUGUUUGAGUAU